GAAAUGUAUAAACUGUUACAUUUUGUCCUGGUUUUCAGAAUAUACAUCAAGGGUAACCCACUGAGAAUUUGGUGAGAUUUCUGAAAGCAAGGGAUGGGAAUGUCUCCAAUGCGUAUAAAAUGGUACGACACAUUCUAUUUUAAGAAAAUCCCAAAGAGUAUCUGACUUGAAUCAAGUUUAUCGAUUUCAAGUAUUCUUACCAAUCAUACUUCAUGUUUCAAAUGAUUGAUUUCUUGAACUGGAGGAUACAAAAUGAAAUUGAUAACAUAUUGGCUGUGAGUUUUCAUGUUCUCUUUAAGUACAAGCAUCAUCAGUCUAUAGACCAAUUUUAGUCUUGACUAAUGCAUUCAUAAAAAUCUGUUACAUAUUCUACGCCUUCAGUCAGUUUAUGUUUUGUCCAGCCUUUAACUUAUUUCAAUAGAUAACUAAAUCUCUAUUAUAUUAUCUGAACUUAGAUUCAUACUCGAUCUGAGUUUUCUGAGGACAAGCUUCUCUGUGGCGAUCAUGAAGAUUGAAUUUACCCAUUGCAUUCAAAAGAGAGGUGCAGGCCAAGAAGAAAGUAACGGGAAGGAUAUUUUAGAGCUAGCCAACCCAACGAUUUGAAGACAACAAGUUGUAAAUUAUCUUCUUUUAUACAAUAAUUUUCUGUUGUUUAAGAGGAGUGUAAGAUGAUGUUUAUUUGAUGGGCAAUAUGUAAAACAAAAUUUUUUUCCGAUUUAUUACAAUGAUGUGUUUUGACUAUUUGGUAUGGAUGAAUAAAAUUAUAUCAAUUAAAG
rnacentral:lncRNA from 1 species